rnacentral:rRNA from 8 species
AAAACUUUUAACAACGGAUCUCUUGGCUCCAGCAUCGAUGAAGAACGCAGCGAAACGCGAUAUGUAAUGUGAAUUGCAGAAUUCAGUGAAUCAUCGAAUCUUUGAACGCACAUGGCGCCUUCCAGUAUCCUGGGAGGCAUGCCUGUCCGAGCGUCGUUU